AUUUAUAUAGUUUAAUUAAAACGCUGAAUUGUGGUUUCAAAAAUAUAAUUUUUAUUAUAAAUC
rnacentral:tRNA from 1 species